rnacentral:rRNA from 1 species
AGAGUUUGAUCAUGGCUCAGAAUGAACGUUGGCGGUGCGCCUUAUGCAUGCAAGUCGAACGGUCGAGCGCGUAACUUGUUAUGUGCUCGGUAGUGGCGAACGGCUGAGUAACGCGUAAGUAACCUGCCUUGGAGUGGGAAAGAACUUGCCGAAAGGCAAGCUAAUGUCCCAUGUGGUAACGAAGCAAAUGCUUUGUUAUUAAAGCCUUAGGGUGCUCGGAGAGGGGCUUGCGUCUGAUUAGCUAGUUGGUAGGGUAAUGGCCUACCAAGGCGAUGAUCGGUAGCUGGUCUGAGAGGAUGGUCAGCCAGAUGGGGACUGGGAUACGGCCCCAACUCCUACGGGAGGCAGCAGCAAGGAAUCUUGGGCAAUGAGCGAAAGCUUGACCCAACGACACCGCGUGAGGGAUGAAGGCCUUCGGGUUGUAAACCUCUCUUCUUGGGGAAGAAUUCUGACGGUACCCAAGGAAUAAGCCUCGGCUAACUACGUGCCGGCAGCCGCGGUAAUACGUAGGAGGCGAACGUUAUUCGGAUUUACUGGGCGUAAAGGGAGCGUAGGCGGUUCCUUAAGUCAGAUGUGAAAUCUUCUGACUUAAUCAGAAGGGGUCAUUUGAUACUGAGGGACUUGAGAACAGCAGAGGGAAGUGGAAUCCCCAGUGUAGCGGUGAAAUGCGUAGAUAUUGGGGAGAACACCAGUGGCGAAGGCGAUUUUCCAGGUUGUUUCUGACGCUGAGGCUCGAAAGCGUGGGGAGCGAAGCGGAUUAGAUACCCGCGUAGUCCACGCCCUAAACGGUGGACACUAGACAUGGGAGGUAUCGACCCUUUCUGUGUCGAAGCUAACGCCUUAAGUGUCCCGCCUGGGGAGUACGGCCGCAAGGCUAAAACUCAAAUGAAUUGACGG